rnacentral:misc_RNA from 1 species
GAUGAAGAACGUAGCGAAAUGCGAUAAGUAAUGUGAAUUGCAGAAUUUAGUGAAUCAUCGAAUCUUUGAACGCACAUUGCGCCCGUCAGUAUUCUGGCGGGCAUGCCUGUUCGAGCGUCAUUACGCCCCUCAAGUCCCCUGUGGACUUGGUGUUGGGGAUCGGCGAGGCUGGUUUUCCAGCACAGCCGUCCCUUAAAUUAAUUGGCGGUCUCGCCGUGGCCCUCCUCUGCGCAGUAGUAAAACACUCGCAACAGGAGCCCGGCGCGGUCCACUGCCGUAAAACCCCCCAACUUUUUAUAGUUGACCUCGAAUCAGGUAGGACUACCCACUGAACUUAAGCAUAUCAAUAAGCGGAGGA